GUCUACAGCCAUGCUACCCUGAACAAGCCCGAUUCCGUCUGAUCUCGGAAGCUAAGUAGGGUCGGGCCUGGUUAGUACUUGGAUGGGAGACCACCUAGGAAGACCAGGUGCUGUAGGCA
rnacentral:rRNA from 1 species